rnacentral:rRNA from 1 species
GGGGGCACGGGGGGCCUACGGGAGGCAGCAGUGGGGAAUAUUGGACAAUGGGCGAAAGCCUGAUCCAGCCAUGCCGCGUGAGUGAUGAAGGCCUUAGGGUUGUAAAGCUCUUUCACCCACGACGAUGAUGACGGUAGUGGGAGAAGAAGCCCCGGCUAACUUCGUGCCAGCAGCCGCGGUAAUACGAAGGGGGCUAGCGUUGUUCGGAAUUACUGGGCGUAAAGCGCACGCAGGCGGUGCGGUCAGUCAGAAGUGAAAGCCCCGGGCUUAACCUGGGAACUGCUUUUGAUACUGCCGCGCUUGAAUCACGGAGAGGGUAGUGGAAUUCCGAGUGUAGAGGUGAAAUUCGUAGAUAUUCGGAAGAACACCAGUGGCGAAGGCGACUACCUGGCCGUCGAUUGACGCUCAUGUGCGAAAGCGUGGGGAGCAAACAGGAUUAGAUACCCUGGUAGUCCACGCCGUAAACGAUGAGUGCUAGAUGUUGGGGUGCAUGCAUCUCAGUGUC